rnacentral:rRNA from 1 species
CUGCUUUGCUGACGAGUGGCGGACGGGUGAGUAAUGUCUGGGAAACUGCCUGAUGGAGGGGGAUAACUACUGGAAACGGUAGCUAAUACCGCAUAACGUCGCAAGACCAAAGAGGGGGACCUUCGGGCCUCUUGCCAUCGGAUGUGCCCAGAUGGGAUUAGCUAGUAGGUGGGGUAACGGCUCACCUAGGCGACGAUCCCUAGCUGGUCUGAGAGGAUGACCAGCCACACUGGAACUGAGACACGGUCCAGACUCCUACGGGAGGCAGCAGUGGGGAAUAUUGCACAAUGGGCGCAAGCCUGAUGCAGCCAUGCCGCGUGUAUGAAGAAGGCCUUCGGGUUGUAAAGUACUUUCAGCGGGGAGGAAGGGAGUAAAGUUAAUACCUUUGCUCAUUGACGUUACCCGCAGAAGAAGCACCGGCUAACUCCGUGCCAGCAGCCGCGGUAAUACGGAGGGUGCAAGCGUUAAUCGGAAUUACUGGGCGUAAAGCGCACGCAGGCGGUUUGUUAAGUCAGAUGUGAAUCCCCGGGCUCAACCUGGGAGCUGCAUCUGAUACUGGCAAGCUUGAGUCUCGUAGAGGGGGGUAGAAUUCCAGGUGUAGCGGUGAAAUGCGUAGAGAUCUGGAGGAAUACCGGUGGCGAAG